rnacentral:rRNA from 1 species
UACGUAGGGGGCAAGCGUUGUCCGGAUUUAUUGGGCGUAAAGAGCGUGUAGGCGGCUAGGUAGGUCCGUUGUGAAAACUCGAGGCUCAACCUCGAGACGCCGAUGGAAACCAUCUGGCUAGAGUCCGGAAGAGGAGAGUGGAAUUCCUGGUGUAGCGGUGAAAUGCGCAGAUAUCAGGAAGAACACCCGUGGCUAAGGCGGCUCUCUAGUACGGUACUGACGCUGAGACGCGAAAGCGUGGGGAGUGAACAGG